rnacentral:rRNA from 1 species
UGAACGCUAGCGGCAGGCCUAAUACAUGCAAGUCGAACGGUAAGAUCUCGCUUGCGAGAUACACGAGUGGCGCACGGGUGAGUAACGCGUAUGCAACCUACCUUCAACUGGAGAAUAGCCCCGAGAAAUCGGGAUUAAUACUCCAUAAUGUCCAACUUUCACAUGAUUGUUGGAUUAAAGCUCCGGCGGUUGGAGAUGGGCAUGCGUGACAUUAGUUUGUUGGUGAGGUAACGGCUCACCAAGACUACGAUGUCUAGGGGUUCUGAGAGGAUUUUCCCCCACACUGGUACUGAGACACGGACCAGACUCCUACGGGAGGCAGCAGUAAGGAAUAUUGGUCAAUGGACGAAAGUCUGAACCAGCCAUGCCGCGUGCAGGAUGACAGCCCUACGGGUUGUAAACUGCUUUUAUACGGGAAGAACCCCCUGUACGUGUACAGGGUUGACGGUACCGUACGAAUAAGGAUCGGCUAACUCC